CGCUGCACUUCCUGUUCUGACUCUAACAGCACCAGCAAAAGCUUUCACUGUGUCAGUGGAGUUUCCACAGUGGCUCAGCUCUGCACAGAGAUGGACAGCAGGGUUCAAGGUGGUAAAGCAUACGGUGUCCUCAAGUCUCAUCAGGAAGAAAAACUGAACUCUGUUAAUGAGGCCUUUCUUUCAGAUCCCCAAUAUGCAGAAGAGGAAGAGCUUGCGUCGAAACUUGAAAUGUUUAAAAAAAAAUACAUGGAGUUUGAUUUGAAUGACAAAGGAGAAA